GACGAACGCUGGCGGCAUGCCUAACACAUGCAAGUCGAGCGAGCAGAUCCCUUCGGGGUGAAGCUAGCGGCGGACGGGUGAGUGACACGUGGGCAACCUGCCUCAUAGAGGGGAAUAGCCUUCCGAAAGGAAGAUUAAUACCGCAUAAGAUUGUAGCUUCGCAUGAAGCAGCAAUUAAAGGAGCAAUCCGCUAUGAGAUGGGCCCGCGGCGCAUUAGCUAGUUGGUGAGGUAACGGCUCACCAAGGCGACGAUGCGUAGCCGACCUGAGAGGGUGAUCGGCCACAUUGGGACUGAGACACGGCCCAGACUCCUACGGGAGGCAGCAGUGGGGAAUAUUGCACAAUGGGGGAAACCCUGAUGCAGCAAUGCCGCGUGAGUGAUGACGGCCUUCGGGUUGUAAAGCUCUGUCUUCGGGGACGAUAAUGACGGUACCCGAGGAGGAAGCCUCGGCUAACUACGUGCCAGCCGCCGCUGUAA
rnacentral:rRNA from 1 species